GGGGGUGUAGCUCAGUGGUAGAGCACAAGCUUAGCAUGCACAAGGCCCUGGGUUCAAUCCCCAGCACAUACA
rnacentral:tRNA from 1 species